rnacentral:rRNA from 1 species
AUUGAACGCUGGCGGCAUGCUUUACACAUGCAAGUCGAACGGUAACAGGCCGCAAGGUGCUGACGAGUGGCGAACGGGUGAGUAAUGCAUCGGAACGUGCCCAGUCGUGGGGGAUAACGCAGCGAAAGCUGCGCUAAUACCGCAUACGAUCUCUGGAUGAAAGCGGGGGACCGAAAGGCCUCGCGCGAUUGGAGCGGCCGAUGUCAGAUUAGGUAGUUGGUGGGGUAAAGGCCCACCAAGCCAACGAUCUUUAGCUGUUCUGAGAGGACGACCAGCAACACUGGGACUGAGACACGGCCCAGACUCCUACGGGAGGCAGCAGUGGGGAAUGUUGGACAAUGGGCGCAAGCCUGAUCCAGCAAUGCCGCGUGCAGGAAGAAGGCCUUCGGGUUGUAAACUGCUUUUGUACGGAACGAAACGGUCCGGGUUAAUACCCUGGGCUAAUGACGGUACCGUAAGAAUAAGCACCGGCUAACUACGUGCCAGCAGCCGCCGUAACAC